rnacentral:misc_RNA from 1 species
GAUGAAGAACGUAGCGAAAUGCGAUAAGUAAUGUGAAUUGCAGAAUUCAGUGAAUCAUCGAAUCUUUGAACGCACAUUGCGCCCGCCAGCACUCUGGCGGGCAUGUCUGUUCGAGCGUCAUUUCAACCAUCAAGCCCCAGGCUUGCGUUGGAGCCCUGCGGCUGCCGCAGCCUCCUAAAAGCAGUGGCGGGCUCGCUAUCACACCGAGUGCAGUAGAUUACUCUUCGCUCAGGGCGUGCAGCGGGUUCCGGCCGUGAAACCCCCUACUUUUAAAGGUUGACCUCGGAUCAGGUAGGAAUACCCGCUGAACUUAAGCAUAUCAAUAAGCGGAGGA